AAUCAACGCUGGCGGCGCGCUUAACACAUGCAAGUCGAGCGAGAAAGGGGAGCAAUCCCUGAGUACAGCGGCGUACGGGUGAGUAACACGUGGGUAAUCUGCCUUUUAGUGGGGAAUAACCCUGGGAAACCGGGGCUAAUACCGCAUAAUCCUGUGAAGGGAAAGCAGCAAUGCGCUGAAAGAGGAGCCCGCGGCCGAUUAGCUAGUUGGUGAGGUAACGGCUCACCAAGGCGGNGAUCGGUAGCCGGCCUGAGAGGGCACACGGCCACACUGGCACUGAAACACGGGCCAGACUCCUACGGGAGGCAGCAGUGGGGAAUCUUGCACAAUGGAGGCAACUCUGAUGCAGCGACGCCGCG
rnacentral:rRNA from 1 species